GAUGAACGCUGGCGGCGUGCUUAACACAUGCAUGUCGAACGAUGAAGCCCAGCUUGCUGGGUGGAUUAGUGGCGAACGGGUGAGUAACACGUGAGUAACCUGCCCUUAACUCUGGGAUAAGCCUGGGAAACUGGGUCUAAUACCGGAUAGGAGCGUCCACCGCAUGGUGGGUGUUGGAAAGAUUUAUCGGUUUUGGAUGGACUCGCGGCCUAUCAGCUUGUUGGUGAGGUAAUGGCUCACCAAGGCGACGACGGGUAGCCGGCCUGAGAGGGUGACCGGCCACACUGGGACUGAGACACGGCCCAGACUCCUACGGGAGGCAGCAGUGGGGAAUAUUGCACAAUGGGCGAAAGCCUGAUGCAGCGACGCCGCGUGAGGGAUGACGGCCUUCGGGUUGUAAACCUCUUUCAGUAGGGAAGAAGCGAAAGUGACGGUACCUGCAGAAGAAGCACCGGCUAACUACGUG
rnacentral:rRNA from 1 species